rnacentral:lncRNA from 1 species
ACUUCAUGUAGUUCCUGAUGCACCAUAAAUGCAUUCCAUCAAUAAUAAUCUAUUAUUACUAUGGUUAAUUAUAGCCAGAAAAUAGGUAACAUGAAGUUAAUAUAAGAAAUUUGAGGUUUCUACCUUCAUAUCUAUUCUCUUAGUUGCUUAAAAACAUUCGUAGUAGAAUACCUAUUAAAAUGUAUAAAAUUAGGUGAAGACAGCCAUAAUGAACCUGAUUUUGUCAGAACUUGAUGAUUUUAGUAUAAUGGCUUUUUUUCCCCUUCAUGCUCCUAAAUUUCCUCUCCUUUCUUUCCAAUAGAUCUUUCCCUUAGUUUCUUGAUUUCCUUUUCUGAAAGCCCUAAAUGUUGGCAUGAGGGGAAAUGUUAGUGCUGUGGACUAAUUAUCUUUUCUGUUCCUGUAAUAGUAAGUAAAAGUUACCAUUUUUCUAUAUUCUAAGGUCUAGGUAUCACACCCACUUUUUCUAGAAAAGUAGGAGUGGGUUUUAUUCUGAUUUUUCUUAGGAUCACAAAUAUAUGUAUAUUUACUUCAAGACUCUGAAGCCUGUUAGGGGAGCUCUAAAGUUACAUUUAAUUGUUACUCUAAAUAUGUCAUCUCUUGAUCUUUUAACUUCUCUUUUUUCUUACUCCUCUGCCAGUAAGAAAGACCAAGGUCUACACAAAUAAUGAGUCAAUAUCACUUUUCACAUGCCCCCAGGAAAUUGAGCAAUUAACCUACGGGGAAUUCCACAGCAAAUUAAUAGUGAUAUAAAAAGGAUAAAUCUAAAUCAAAACAUAAUAAAAUCAGGUAAGGCUAUAAGAGCAUAAGAAGCUGGCCUUUGGGCAAACAUGCCUAAAUAUGUUUAACAACUUUUAAAUCCAUUAAGAUUAUUCACUGUGAUGCCAUGGAGUAGAACUAACCCACUAUUUCCCCUUCAUAGGAAUUUGCUGUGCUUUCUCAUUGCCCAAAGUAAACUUCAUUUCUUAAACUCUAUGCAUCUUGCAUAUCUUGUCUGUUACAUUUAUAUCCAGUGCAGGUGAUUUAAAAUUUCAACUUCUUCUAGCCUUCAUACAAAGGGUGUUUGCUGACAAUUCACUUUUGUUUAGCAACUUUUUGUUUUAUCUCUCUUUAAGGAUGGACAUAGACAUGACAAUUUUUUUAAAAAUAACCAGUUUCCACAGAAGUUCCACUGCAUAUAAAAAAUAUGCUGUGGCUGUAGAGAGAUACAGAGAAAUCUUUGUAGGCCUUCAACAGAUCACAAUAUGGACAACAGUGGUAGAAAAGAGCAAAGAAGUAGCUGUUUUCUAAGAAAGGUAUAUUACUUGGAGAAGCCUUCAUUUCAAAGUGCCUUCGGGUAUGAGGAAAAAUUUUGGAUGACCUUUAAUGCAUUAUGAACAAAUGGAGAUGUAUUAUAUGAUGUUGGUGUUCUGGGAGACCUUGGAUUAAGAAGGAUAAAUCAAUACUUCAUGCAUAUAUAACUUCUCCCUUUCAAGAAGCUCAAAGCCUUGUUUUCUUCUUCAUCUCAACAAAGUUAAAACUACCCAAAAAUUCUGACUGAAAACUUCAUUUUCUCUUAAUAAGUGUGUAUAAAUAUCAGAUAUUCUUUCCUUCAAAGUCCUGGUAAUCAGUUCUGUAUAUUUCACUCUAGUUUUACAUAUAGAAUGUUAAUGAGUGUUCAGGUUUUUUAAUGCAUAAGGAUAUCUCCACUUGCAGGCUAGAGACAAGGUAAUUUGGUUGAAUGCCUCCUUUCUUCCCUUUAUUCUGUACCCGUGUGCUAUAUAUUAGGAUUUUGAAAAAUGUAAGGAACAGUAACACUCCACUUACCUGCCUAUCAGAUUUCUAGCAAAAACAAUCACCCGGGGCACAACUGAAAGCCAAAAUUAAAUGAAUCACCUGAGAACAGCAAGUAAUGGAAAAACCAUCUGUUUCAGAGCCUGGGUCUUGUACUCUUAGAAGAGUAGUACUGUAUAGAAAGUAAAAGUUAUUUUAUUUGGCUUGGAUUCCCCUGAAAAUGUUAUGCCUACCUUGCCUUAGAAUGUGCAGCCAUUUUAGAGAUAUUGGCAAAUGAUAUUUAAAACAUAGUUCCACAGCUGUGAAAACUGAUAGCUAACUACACAGGUGAGAGAACAAACUAAUAUUUAACAAGAACAUCAAACUAGUCAUUAGUUGACCACAAUGAUGAGAUAAUUCAUUUACUCAGUCAACACCUACAUAUUGAAAGACUAUUUUGUGCAGUGGAGCAGCAUGCAGAAAUGUAUGGAUAUAUGAGAGAAUCACUUUUAUGGGGAACAAAAAACAUUGAGUGUGGCUAAAUAAAGGGCACAUUGGAGCAGGGGACUAGAAGGGAAUGGUGAUAGGCAUGUUGGGGUCAGAGUGUGCAGGGCCUUCAGUGCUGGAAAUUUGAAUUUCAUUUGGGGAGAAGCCACCAUCAGUAGCUUUUGAGAGUGACAUGAUCAGAAUUGUGUUUUGGAAAAUUCACUCUGUGAAAACCCAAAGUGCAAUGGGCAUAUUCCAGUUUUGCUUGUGUAAAAUAAUACAUAUAUAUGUAUUUAUGUUAUAUAUACUAUUCAUGCAUGUGCUUAACAUGCAUAGACUAUCUUUGAAAGGACACAUAAAAACUGGUAAUACUGGAUGCCUCUGAGGCAGGAAAGUGAACUGUGACUCAAGUUUUGUUUUGGUGGGGGAGACUUACUUUUUACUGUCUACCCUUUACACUGUUUGAUUUUUACUAUGUGUCUUAGCCCUUGUUCUCUAUCAGCAGAGCCCAAGGCUAUAUUAAUGUGCUGACACUUUAUUUGGGAGGGCAAGUCCAGGGAUUGGAGGUAAAGAACAGAGGGUAAGUGAGUCAAAGCCAUGAAGCAGUGUGAGGCAAUGAAUUCUUGAGCUGAUUUCUGCUUCAUCACAGGCCCUGUGAAGAGACAUGGCAGGUGGUUCUCAGCAGGUAUGUUUGUUUAUCACCACUGUUGCUGGACUUUUCUCGAAAGCUUGAAAAGAGAACCUGCUUAUUGGAGCAGUUCUCCAAAGGCCAAAGGGAGAACUGAGAGGGAGUACAUCUGCCUGACUCAUUUAUCGGUCAUGUUCACCUCAUAGAGAGCUAACAUCCAAUACAUCCAGCCACUCAGAGGUCACUCAGGAAGCCAGAUCAUGCAGCAUGGUAUGGCAUUUUAUUCAUGUCCAGAAAAGGAGAAAUGGCUUACUGCCUUUAGGCUUGGAGUAUGAUAUAACAAUGGGUGUACAGUUCUGGGACUUCAACUUAGAUUCCAGCUAGCUCAGUGAACUCCAUAAAAGAGGUCGUUGUGCAGUCCAAGAUGUGGGCAAACAUAUUUGGGAAACAGGUUCUUGAUGCAAUUUGAGAAAGUAUACAGAUUUGUAUCCAGAACAUUUUUUAAAUGUAUCAUUAAAAAAAAAAGCUGGGAAAAACAGCAUGCCUCUUCUGGUAGCAGUGUGAAAGGUGAUUUGAAGAAAGAAUAGAAGUGAAGAGUCUAGUUAGGAGAAAUAUUGUGGUUGUUUCAGUGACAGCAGAUUAACUAAAGCAGUAGAAGUCAGAAGAUAGAUCAGACAUAUUCAGAAAGUAAUUUCAAUAGGAUGAGGUUACUGCCUGGAUAUAAAGAACAAGACAGAACAUGUUAAGAAUGACCAUAUGGCGGAGUUCCCGUCGUGGCACAGUGGUUAACAAAUCCGACUAGGAGCCAUGAGGUUGCAGGUUCGGUCCCUGCCCUUGCUCAGUGGGUUAAUGAUCUGGCGUUGCCAUGAGCUGUGGUGUAGGUUGCAGACGCGGCUCGGAUCCCGCGUUGCUGUGGCUCUGGCGUAGGCCGGUGGCUACAGCUCCGAUUCAACCCCUAGCCUGGGAACCUCCAUAUGCCGCGGGAGCGGCCCAAGAAAUGGCAAAAAGACAAAAAAAAAAAAAAACAAAGAAUGACCAUAUGGCUUGUAGGUUAGACUAUAGAUAGGGAAAACUGGAGAAUUAAAAACUCAACUUGGUUUCUGAAGGAAGAUAAUGAGAUCAGCUUUGUCCAUGUUGAAUUGGAGAAGACAGAAUAGAGAGACAUUCUGAUGAUAACCUGUUUAUUGUUAGAAAUAUAUACCUAGAGUUCAAAAUAAGAUCAAGGCUAGAGAGACAUUUUGGGUCAUAUGGAUAUACAUGGUAGGUGAACUUGAGUUGUUUAAAUCUGAAAGAAUGGAGGAUAUCCUCAAAGGAUAUUUUCAUUAUCAUCUGUUUAAACGGCAGAGAUAUAUGUACUAUAUUUAGAAAUGUUGCCAUCAAAAUUAUUUAUCUUAAUGCUUAGUGAGUACAUUAGUUUUAUUAAGCAGAAACAGAAACCACAGUACCAGUAGUCAGUAAACAUGUAUUCAAACUCCUUCAUGUACAGAUCACCAUUCUAAGUUCUCUGAGGCAAUAAUUAUGUAAAUGGUAGGCAAGACAUCUCUCCUAGAUUCUGACAAUAUAAGACAAAGACAAGCCAGGAGUUGCCAUCGUGGCUCAGGAUAACUCAUGGAUGCGGGUUCUAUCCCUGGCCUUGCUCACUGGAUUAAAGGAUCUGGUGUUGCUGUGAGCUGUGGCAUAGGUUGCAGGUGUGGCUUGGAUCCUGCAUUGCUGUGGUGUAGACCAGCAGCUGCAGCUCUGAUUCAACCCCUAGCCUGGGAACUUCCAUAUGCCACAGGUAUGGCCCUAAGAACCACCUCC